AUGAAAUUGGGAAAUAUGUAAUGGCACACUGAUAAGUAUGCCGAAACUAAUGACGUCGUUAGAUCGAGCUGAUAAUGACAAUAAAAUCUAUUAUCCUGAUGUCAUGUCGGUACGAAUGAUCUACUUCGCUUGGUGUCGUCCUCGUCGGUGUUUGCCUUUCCCCGGCCUCCAUUUGGCGCUUAUGCAAUGUGGUGGUGAGAAUCUGCUGGCUGAAUAAACAAGUCUCCAUCACAGAGGAUUACAAGCUGUCAGACAUGACCCACAUACUGUGACACCUCUCUGCAGGUGUUGGAGUGCGUCAUCACUGGAACUCUUCCCAUAGCACGUGUGGACACAAACACACACACACACACACACACACACACACAUACAGAGCUGAGUGCUGCUAUUGUUCGCCAUGCCGUGUUGUGUCAUGACCCUCACCUUUGCACUACUUUCUCCUUGGGGUUACCUGCCUUAACCCUAACCCCUCUUCGUUUAUCUUCAGAACUUUGUGUCGAUUUUAUUUAUUUAUUUAUUUUUAUUUUUUCCCCCUAUACUGUUGGGGCAUCCUUUUCCUGUUAAACUAACAAUUGGAGGAACCCAGCGGUGAGAGGUUGCUCUCUCAUCUAUUUGAAACAGAUGCACACACACUCUUGCUCAUCACAGUGGACCCCACCCCUCCACCAC